rnacentral:rRNA from 1 species
AGUGAACGCUGGCGGCAGGCCUAACACAUGCAAGUCGAGCGGAUGAAGGGAGCUUGCUCCUGGAUUCAGCGGCGGACUGGUGAGUAAUGCCUAGGAAUCUGCCUGUUAGUGGGGGAUAACGUCCGGAAACGGGCGCUAAUACGGCAUACGUCCUGAGGGCGUACGUGUGGGAGCUUCGGACCUCACGCUAUCAGAUGAGCCUAGGUCGGAUUAGCUAGUUGGUGGGGUAAAGGCCUACCAAGGCGACGAUCCGUAACUGGUCUGAGAGGAUGAUCAGUCACACUGGAACUGAGACACGGUCCAGACUCCUACGGGAGGCAGCAGUGGGGAAUAUUGGACAAUGGGCGAAAGCCUGAUCCAGCCAUGCCGCGUGUGUGAAGAAGGUCUUCGGAUUGUAAAGCCCUUUAAGUUGGAAGGAAGAGCAGUAAGUUAAUACCUUGCUGUUUUGACGGUACCCAAAGAAUAAGCACCGGCUAACUUCGUG